rnacentral:rRNA from 1 species
GAUGAACGCUGGCGGCGUGCCUAAUACAUGCAUGUCGAGCGAACAGACGAGGAGCUUGCUCCUCUGACGUUAGCGGCGGACGGGUGAGUAACACGUGGAUAACCUACCUAUAAGACUGGGAUAACUUCGGGAAACCGGAGCUAAUACCGGAUAAUAUAUUGAACCGCAUGGUUCAAUAGUGAAAGACGGUUUUGCUGUCACUUAUAGAUGGAUCCGCGCCGCAUUAGCUAGUUGGUAAGGUAACGGCUUACCAAGGCGACGAUGCGUAGCCGACCUGAGAGGGUGAUCGGCCACACUGGAACUGAGACACGGUCCAGACUCCUACGGGAGGCAGCAGUAGGGAAUCUUCCGCAAUGGGCGAAAGCCUGACGGAGCAACGCCGCGUGAGUGAUGAAGGUCUUCGGAUCGUAAAACUCUGUUAUUAGGGAAGAACAAAUGUGUAAGUAACUAUGCACGUCUUGACGGUACCUAAUCAGAAAGCCACGGCUAACUACGUG